GAUGAACGCUAGCGGCAGGCUUAAUACAUGCAAGUCGUGGGGCAGCAUGAAGUAGCAAUACUUUGAUGGCGACCGGCAAACGGGUGCGGAACACGUACACAACCUUCCUUUUAGUGGGGAAUAGCCCAGAGAAAUUUGGAUUAAUACCCCGUAACAUAGCGAUGAGGCAUCUCAUUGCUAUUAUAGCUUCGGCGCUAGAUGAUGGGUGUGCGUAUGAUUAGAUAGUUGGCGAGGUAACGGCUCACCAAGUCUACGAUCAUUAGCUGGUGUGAGAGCAUGAUCAGCCACACGGGCACUGAGACACGGGCCCGACUCCUACGGGAGGUAGCAGUAAGGAAUAUUGGUCAAUGGACGAAAGUCUGAACCAGCCAUGCCGCGUGAAGGAUUAAGGUCCUCUGGAUUGUAAACUUCUUUUAUAUGGGACGAAAAAAGGUCUUUCUAGAUCACUUGACGGUACCAUAUGAAUAAGCAUCGGCUAACUCCGUGCCAGCCGCCGCCGUAACAC
rnacentral:rRNA from 1 species